rnacentral:lncRNA from 1 species
CAACUGUGUGUGCAGCAAGCAGAAAUGCAGUAUUUAUCUCUGACAGGCAAACAUUCUUAAGCUCUUCGGCAUGAGUAUCCACACUGAACUGGCUAUCAGGAAAAUAGACCCCUGCAUGGGAAAGUCAAGGGUGAUGGAUGGAGCAUUUCAACCACAAUGGCAAAGAAUGAAUUACCGGCAGUGCUAGAGUUUCCUGUUGCCGUGGGAAGACAGCUGCCAUGUUGAGAGGUGCCUUGUGGAGAGGCUCAUGUGGCAAGGAACUGAGGGUGGCUUCUAUCCAACAACCAGUGAGGAACUGAGGCCCUCAAGUCCAUAGUCCAUGAGGAACUAAAUACUACCAACAACUACAUGAGUGAGCCUAGAAUCUGAUUUUCCCCAAUGGAGACUUAAGGUACCUGCAACCCGGCUGUUAAGGACUAAACUGCAUCCUGCCCAAAUUUAUAUAUUGGAGUCUUAACUCCCAGCACUUCAGAACAUGACUUUAUUUGUUAGUCAUUAAAGAGGUAAUGAAGUUAAAAUGAGGUCAUUAGGAUGAGUCCUAAUCCAAUAGGACUGGUGUUCUUAUACGAAGAGGAAAUUUGAACACAGACACAUAUAGAGGAAAGACCAUGCAAAGAAGACACAGAGAGGAAACGGUCAUCUACAAUCUUAGGAGAGAGGCCUCAGAACAAGCCAUCCCUGCAGAUACCUUGAUCUAGACCUCCAGAAUUGUAUGAAAACACACUUUGGUUAUUUAAGCCACCCAGUCUGUGGUGCUUUGUUAUGGCAAUCCCAGAAAACUAAUUAACUAAUUGACUGCAGCCUUGCAAGGGACCCUGAACCAGAGGACUCAGUAAAGCCGUGUGCAGAUUCCUGACUCAGAACUAGGAGAUAAUAAAUGUGUGUUGUUCUAAGGUGCCAAAUCUUGGGAAAAUAUGUUAGGUAGCUAUGUUGUUUUGCACAUGUGCCAUGUAAUCAUGUUUUGGUCAACAACAGACCACAUAUAUGAUGGUGGUCACGUAAGAUUGUAAUACUGUGUUUCUAUCAUGCAUUCUCUAUGUUUAUAUACACAAAUACUCAUCACUGCGUUACAAUUGCCUCCUGUCUUCAGUACUGUAACAUGUUGUACAGGCUUGUAACCUAUAGGCAAUAGACUACACCAUACAGCCUGGGUGUGUAGUAGGCUAUACCAUCUAUGUUUGUGAAGUACAUUGUGUGAUGUUCACAUCAUUAUGAAGUUGCCUAGUGAUGCAUUUCUCAGAAUGUAUGCCCAACAUGAAGUGACACAUGGCUUUAUGUCUAUCAUGCAUUUAAGA